rnacentral:lncRNA from 1 species
ACAUGACAAAAAGUGAAAAUCUUGAAAAUACCACAUUUAUAAAAGUGAAUUCAUCUUUCAAAGAAAGCUUCUAACAUUCUUAGGCGGAAAUUUCAAGCUAGGAAAAGUACGGAUAUUACAAAGCCCUUUUAUUUUAUAGGGGAAAUUUACUCCUAGUUUUUGAGUAAAAGAUAAAUACUUCAAAUCUUGAUAGAUAUCAACUAGAUCUUGAUAGAUAUUGAUAGACAUUCACUACAACUAAUACACAUUAAUAUCAUAACACCCCCCCCCCCUGAAUGUCUAACAAUACACAUAUCCGUUGUCUCAUUAAAAAACUUAC